AUGACCAAUCCCUGCCUAGGCACCCCUUCCCCACAGCCUCUGGUAACCACUAUUGAACUUUGUGCUUCUGUGAGGUCAAGUUGUUUCAGAUUCCACGUGCAUGAGAUCAUGCAGUAUAUGCCUUUCUCUGCCUGGCUUAUUUCAUUUAACAUAACGUUCCUCAGGUUUUUCCACGUGGCCGCAAGUGACGAGAUUUCACCCAUUUCUACGAUUGAAGAAUAUUCUGCUCUGGAUGUAUAUUGCAGUUUCUUCAUCCCUUCAUCAAUGGAAGAACAGGUUCAUCUGGGUUGCUCCACAUGACACUGUUUCAUCAUUUCGGUGGCCGAAGAAUAUUUCGUAGUGUAUGCAUACGAGAGUUUCUUGAUCCCGUUGUGGAUGGACAGGUAGGUAGAAUGUAUACCCAGUAGUGGGAAUGCUAGCUGGUAUGCUGUUUUUCUUUUCUAUUCUUUGCAGGACCCCCAACUGUUUACAGCGUUAAUACUAAUUUACGUUUCCACAAACAGUUCCCCUUUGUGGAAAUUCAUACUAGAAGUUGUCUUUUUAAAUAUUUUAAUCUGUUUGUAAUGUUCAUUCUAGUUGGAGUGAGAUAAGAUCUGAGUGUGGUUUUGAUCUUCAUUUUUCUCAUACAUAGUAACGGUAACCACAUUUUUGCAAAUGUUGCAUCAGUUUCUUGUCUGCACAAAUAUCUCUUCAGGUUGUUUGGUUUGGUUAUUUUUGUCCUUUUUUUUUUUGGCCAGCUGGUAGUGCUACUGGCUUGUACCUUUUCAAAAAUAAUCUCUUAUCCAACUGAAUGUUUGCCCAAAUGUUUCUUACGGUUUUUAGUAUGCUUUUUCAUUUUGUUCAUUGUUUGUUAGACACAAACUCUUCAGUGUGACGUGGCCCCACAUGUGUAUGAUUUCCUGGUUAGCUGUGCUGUUGGUUACUAAUGAAGAAAAAACUCAAUUACUACCAAAGCAGUCCAUUGUCCACGAUUUUCUUUUCCUUGUAUUUUUGUUUUUGCAAAUCAUGAGCAUACAUCCCAAGUUGCAAUAAAUAUCCGCACACUGAGGUUGUCUUUAUAGGA
rnacentral:lncRNA from 13 species